rnacentral:lncRNA from 1 species
GGGUGCCAGUCAAAAGUGUCAAAGGAAAAGUCCACGUCACAAAGUCAAAUCAAUAAAGUGCACAAUGAUAGAAAUCGAUUUAGCUAAAUUCACCCAUAAUUCACUUUAAAGUCAUGGCAUUUGUAUCUUAAUUUCUUUCCAGCUAUUCCAGUGACAAUACCACAUCAAUACGUCAUGCCCUGCUCCUUCACUUGACACAAAACCAAUAUCAACCGUAAUGGGAGUCUUUUUUAUACCAAAAUAAGAUCAAUAACAAUUAGAUACACCAGAUGAUCAGUUAUUCUAUUGCAUGCUAGACCCAAAAAUCACACACACAUACACACAUCUAUAUCCUAAGAAAUCAUGUCAAAAUCAAAGAAAUAGCCUUAGCAUAUUUAGAAUGUGAGCUUGAAUAACUUAAUGUAGAUAACAAAUUUUCUAUCAGUGACUGUAGAUAACAAAUUUUCUAUCAGUGACUGGAAAUGUAAUCAAAAGUACCCCAAAAUAUUCCUUCAACAUGUUCCAGCAUGUAUAUUCAGCAACCAAGAAAAAUUCAACUGUGAAACAAAAUGACAAUAAUCUCACAGAGAAAGAUACUUACAGUUCUCCAUGUUCUGACAUUUCAUAUUGACAUGCGAAUCGUCACAAUCA